GCAGCGCAGUGUAGCAAUACAUGGGCGGCGACCGGCAAACGGGUGCGGAACACGUACGCAACCUUCCUUUAAGUGGGGGAUAGCUUCCGGAAACGGAAAUUAAUACCCCAUAAAAUUGUUUGAUGGCAUCAUUAGACAAUUAAAGCUCCGGCGCUUAAAGAUGGGCGUGCGACUGA
rnacentral:rRNA from 1 species